UACGUAGGGAGCAAGCGUUGUCCGGAAUCAUUGGGCGUAAAGCGCGCGUAGGCGGCUCGGAAAGUCGGUCGUGAAAUGCCGGGGCUCAACCCCGGGACUGCGUCCGAUACUUCCGAGCUGGAGGCAGGUAGGGGAGAUCGGAAUUCCUGGUGUAGCGGUGAAAUGCGCAGAUAUCAGGAGGAACACCGGUGGCGAAGGCGGAUCUCUGGGCCACUACUGACGCUGAGAAGCGAAAGCAUGGGGAGCGAACAGG
rnacentral:rRNA from 1 species